UUGACCUCAAAUCAGGUUGGACUACCCGCUGAACUUAAGCAUAUCAAUAAGCGGAGGAAAAGAAACUAACAAGUAUUCCCCUAGUAACUGCGAGUGAAGCGGGAAAAGCUC
rnacentral:rRNA from 1 species